GUGAGGAAUAUUGGUCAAUGGGCGAGAGCCUGAACCAGCCAAAUCGCGUGAAGGAUGAAGGUAUUAUGUAUUGUAAACUUCUUUUAUCGGGGAAUAAAGUGCGGGACGUGUCCCGUUUUGUAUGUACCCGAAGAAUAAGGAUCGGCUAACUCCGUGCCAGCAGCCGCGGUAAUACGGAGGAUCCAAGCGUUAUCCGGAUUUAUUGGGUUUAAAGGGUGCGUAGGCGGACUGUCAAGUCAGCGGUGAAAGUCCAUGGCUCAACCAUGGAAUUGCCGUUGAAACUGUCGGUCUUGAGUGUAGAUGAAGUAGGCGGAAUUCGUAGUGUAGCGGUGAAAUGCUUAGAUAUUACGAAGAACUCCAAUUGCGUAGGCAGCUUACCAGGCUACAACUGACGCUGAGGCACGAAGGUGCGGGGAUCAAACAGGAUUAGAAACCCUAGUAGUCC
rnacentral:rRNA from 1 species